rnacentral:rRNA from 1 species
CAGUAGCCGCGGUAAUACGUAGGGUGCGAGCGUUAAUUGGAAUUACUGGGCGUAAAGCGUGCGCAGGCGGUUGUGUAAGACAGGUGUGAAAUCCCCGGGCUUAACCUGGGAACUGCGCUUGUGACUGCACAGCUAGAGUAUGGCAGAGGGGGGUGGAAUUCCACGUGUAGCAGUGAAAUGCGUAGAGAUGUGGAGGAACACCGAUGGCGAAGGCAGCCCCCUGGGCCAAUACUGACGCCCAUGCACGAAAGCGUGGGGAGCAAACAGGAUUAGAUACCCCCGUAGUCCCUGUCUCUUAUAC